GCUAGAGCUCUCCUUUCGUUUUCUCAAAGAGAAUUUUCACAAGCCUCUCACCCCGGCUGGGAAGAGUCCAGCUCCUUACAGGCAAAUAUUGAACCCACACACAGGUACAUGGUGCUGCUGGGAACAAGGCCACCCCCUCAGCACUGGGCCAUGUUGGAAGUGAGGGGCAGAGACCCUAGCGGGGCUUGUUGGUGGGGGUGCCAGAGUGGGUGCACUGCUGGGGGCAGUAGGAUGUAGGAAUCCUGGGUGCCAGAACAGCAGGCAUUUCUUCUCCCUACUGUCACCCUGCUGAAAGACCCGGAAUAGAGAGGGGGGCAUCCCAAAUCCUGACACUCGGGGGAGGCAGGGGUUAAUGACACCGGACUGGUGUGGGGACCCAGGCAGGGCCUAGGCAUCUUCACAUAAACUUGGCAAGACAGGGAGGCCCCCACCCCCAAGAAAGGCAGCCCAUUUCCACGCAGAGCACGAGGCACGUGGGGAAUGUUCCCCUUUCAGAUUCCAGUCCACAUCAAUCACCCCUGUGUCCCAUUCCAGGAACAUCUGGCCUGUCUCCCCCCACCCACCACUGCCCCCCUUCCCCUUCCCACCAGCCUCCUGCUGUCUCCCGUCCCAGGCCUUCUGGCCUGUCACGGGUGUGCCUAUAGACAGGAGGCAGCCUCCAGCCGAGCAUGCCGGGUGCUGCAUGCAGACUUGUAAAUUUGGGGAUGGGGAGCAUUUUUUAAAAAGUCUCUUUGCACUCCCCAAUCCCUGCAAGACCAGACUGGAUUUCAAAUCCUUGCUGAGGGUCUCUAUUAAGGACCAACCCAGGGCUCCCUUUGGCUCCGCUAGGGGCUUUCCACCAUUCCUCAGGCCUGCUUCCCAAGUUGGGAAUAGGCAAGGCUUUGGGGUGAAACUCCAUUUCAGAGGUGGGCUUUCUUCCUUUGGGGGGAUGCUUGAGGGACAGUCACAUCAGUGGUGCAUUUGGAGACCCACCCUCUGCUUUCUGCCCUGGCAGAAGUGCCUGUCGGAGGAGCCACCCACCGCACUCAAACGCGCAGCUCGGACUCUUCAGAGGGCGCAGGCACAGGGGGCACAGGCGCAGACCUUCUGCUCUGAGAGGACACAGCCGGUGUCAUCCCCGCCAGCCUGGGAAGCCAAGGACCCAGGUGUCACCCCCGCCAGCCUGGCCCAGGGACCCAGGCCCACCAGAACCGUCAACACCUGGGACCAGCCACCCAGCAGCUGAUCUACAAGACAAAAGCUGAAGCCCCAGUAGGGAGUCUCCAAGGACCUCCGUGCUGCAGAGCCUGCUGCAGAGACUGCGGGGAACCUGCUUUGCCCACACCUGAGCUCCCAAGGCAGAGAGGCACCUGGAGCCUACCACCACCUGACUUCCAGACACCAGCAGUGUGACUUUGAAUGGACCUUCCAACCUUGACUGACUGUGAAAUGGGGGGAUUCACAUCUGUGCCUGGGGGGUGCAGCUCUUCAAGGGGACCCCUGAUGUAAGGAGAGCUGUACCAGUGGACGCCUCUGCCCCACCCAAGAUGCCAGCACACUUACCUCUUAGGGGCUGGUGCUGGCAGCCGGCUGGCUUCAGUUCUGGGAGCGAGGAGAUCUCCUGGACCGGAGGCCACAGCAGCUCACCUCUGGACUGGGCUCUCUGGCUGCCCUGACCUGCUGGGGCUCAGGCUGAGGGGUAGGCUGAGCAGGGGGCACAGCCGGAGGAGAUGCCGGUUCCUGGGGCUGGGAACUGGGAUCCUGGGGCUGGGGACUGGGAUCCGCCUCCUCCUUCACGAGCUCAGUGGUGAUUAUUCGGCCCCUAGAGAAAAGCAAAAUGAUAUUUUUGAGAUGAUUUUUCCCCCCAAUUGCUAGGUAGUGAACCCAGUUAUGCUGUACCUCUGAGCUAUACCCCAGCCCUUUUUCUAUUUAUAUUUGCAAAUCUUUCUCUAGCCAGAGCAUGGGGCCCCUUCUUCUGCCCUGGCUGCUGUAGGGUGGGGGGGUUGCUGAGGGUCACCUUGUGAGGGUUUGAUCAUUGUCUCUCCCUCCUGUCCCUUUGGCUGUCUAUCUCCCCCUUUUCAAAGCACAAGGGAGGGAGAAGGUGGCAAGAGGAAACUUUGCCAAGUCUGUCAACUGUGAUGGAAAAGCAGGAGACCCCCCUGCUGGGUGGGCAGCCCAGUUCCUGGCUGUGGGUAGGCUUCUGCCUGGGCACUGGCUGGGAGUUGCACACAGAGGAUCUGCCUUGAGAGGCCACAACACAGAACAUGAAGGUCUCCCCUCCACUUCCCACACAACCACUUGAAUGGAAGUGAAGACCCCCACCCCAUGAGGGGGCAAAAAUGGAAGGACAAAGGCUCUGCAUUUGAAGGGCCACUAGGGGAGGGGGAAGGGGACUUCUGGGAAGGUGGGGGGCAUGGUGGGGGAGGUCUGGGCUUCUCUGGGGAAAUGGACCCCCUCCCCAUAAACACCACACUGGGUGGGUUGAGUCUCCUGGGAUCCAGCACACAGGGGCAAGACUUCACACACGAACAUGCCCCACACUGACUCUGUGGACAGGGGAGGCUGAGGGUGGCCGGGGAGCUGGACAUGCCACCAGGAUAAAAGCAGCUUUCCUUUUAAAAACCCUUUUUGGGGAGACAGAGGGCAUUGUCCUUUCAGGGUCCUUCUCACUCCAAGUUCUCGGUGGUGGUUCAGAGGUGUAGGGAGCAAGCAGAGGGAAGCUUAAUUUUAAAGUGGUAUGAAAAAGAGAAACAGCUUCCGAAUCUCAGGACCUGGCCCCUCCACACAGUGUCCUGGUGGUCUUUGGGACUACAUGCGGGGUGGGAGGAUUCAGCAAGAGGAAACUCAUGCAGAAAAACCCUGCCUUCUACACUGGGAGAAACAGCUGUGCAUUCCUGCUGGGAAGAGCGGCACUGCCUUCCUCCCCUGCCCCUCCUGCUUGGCCUGGGAGAUUAGUAGGAAAACUGAUUUUCCUGCAAAAGGCUCUGUGCCUUUGUGCAGCCUUCUAAGAGUCCCCACUCCAACUGUUUUUCCCGUCCUCUCCAAAGUGGAGGCUACUCUUAGGAAGCUUGCUCUGCUGGGCCCUCUAGUAAAAGAAGGUCUUCCCUGUUUUUUAGAGACUAGGCUCCUGGCUGUCUGAAGCCCCCAGCCCACCAAUGCCUGCACAUUACAAAUGCAGCUUCCCCCACACAGAGGGCACAGCACAGGGGAGGGAAGGCCAGUUACCUGUACUCUAGUCGCUGCGUAGUCCCCGCAGCUCCCGGACGGUGGAUAAAGAGGACCGGGGAAUCACUGGUGCCCAAGACUCUCUGCCGAAACUGCCCGGACGAUGAUCCGCUGGCUGGGCCAAUAUUAGCAGUCGCCGCCAAAGCAGGGGGUGCUCUGGUUGUGGUGCCCAGACCCUCCAGCCGGGUCGACGUAGAGGAGGAGGUGGAAGGGGACGAGGCUGAGGCUGGAGAAACGGUGAAGCGCUUUUUUAGAGAGUGCAUGAUAAAGGGGCCCCUAGAAGUGGGGUAGCCUCUCCACUGUUGAGCACAGCACCUGCUCAACUGAAAAUGGCUUUGCCCUCACCUCCUCGUCCCCUCCACGCCUUUCUCCAAGCCCCUCCAAAUUUGGGAAUCCUUGCACCAGCUCAGUAGUAUUGGGGCAGCUGACUAUGGCACUUGUCCACACUAGGGCAUGGGUGCAUUGGGGGGUGGGACUUUGGCCCAUCCCUGACCCAGUGGAAGGAUGGAAGGACGUAUGUGGGUGUGGGCAUAAGCCGGAAGUGCUCCUUUUUAGCUAGAAGGUGGAGACUGCGUGGAGGGGGUGAGGAGGGGGUGUGGCUUGACUGGAGUGACAGUUGGCAGUCACUUGACACCCUGGAAUGUCUGUGGGCGUGGCACUGGUAAAAAGGGGGCGUGGCCUAAGUGUAAAAAAAAAAAGUAAAAAAAAUAAUAAUAAAAUGACUUUUCAAUCGUUCCCAG